rnacentral:tRNA from 1 species
GGCCCUAUAGUUCAAGGGAUAGAACGGAAGUUUCCUAAACUUUAAAUCUAAGUUCGAGUCUUAGUGGGGCUA